rnacentral:rRNA from 1 species
UCGUCAGCUCGUGUCGUGAGAUGUUGGGUUAAGUCCCGUAACGAGCGCAACCCUGUCCUUAGUUACCAGCACGUUAUGGUGGGCACUCUAAGGAGGACUGCCGGUGACAAACCGGAGGAAGGUGGGGGAGUGACGUCAAGUCAUCAUGGCCCUUACGGCCUGGGCUACACACGUGCUACAAUGGUCGGCACAAAGGGUUGCCAAGCCGCGAGGUGGAGCUAAUCCCAUAAAACCGAUCGUAGUCCGGAUCGCAGUCUGCAACUCGACUGCGUGAAGUCGGAAUCGCUAGUAAUCGUGAAUCAGAAUGUCACGGUGAAUACGUUCCCGGGCCUU